GCUUAACACAUGCAAGUUGCACGGACCCUUCGGGGUUAGUGGCGCACGGGUGAGUAACACGUAGGAAUCUGUCUUGNGGUGGGGGAUAACUCCGGGAAACUGGAGCUAAUACCGCAUGAUAACUGAGGUUCAAAGGUCGCAAGACCGCCUUGAGAGGGGCCUGCGUUCGAUUAGUUAGUUGGUGGGGUAAUGGCCUACCAAGACGAUGAUCGAUAGCUGGUUUGAGAGGAUGAUCAGCCACACUGGGACUGAGACACGGCCCAGACUCCUACGGGAGGCAGCAGUGGGGAAUAUUGGACAAUGGGGGCAACCCUGAUCCAGCAAUGCCGCGUAUGUGAAGAAGGUCUUCGGAUUGUAAAACACUUUCGUUGGGGACGAUGAUGACGGUACCCAAAGAAGAAGCCCCGGCUAACUUCGUGCCAGCAGCCGCGGUAAUACNAAGGGGGCGAGCGUUACUCGGAAUAACUGGGCGUAAAGGGCGCGUAGGCGGCCGAUAGCUGUCANAUGUGAAAUUUUUGGGCUCAACCCGAAAACUGCNUUUGAUACNUAUUGGCUAGAGUGCGAGAGAGGAUUGCGGAAUUCCCAGUGUAGAGGUGAAAUUCGUAGAUAU
rnacentral:rRNA from 1 species